AUGUUGUCCAUCUCCCUCAUCAUACUCCUGGUGAACCCCAAUCUGUACAGGCCAGCUAUACGAAGCAAUGCACUAUCUGUUUGUAUGGCGGUGGGCUUGUUUUGUUUGAUGGGGGCCUAUGCCGCUGGAAGCACCCAACGCCUCAAGACAUCCAUCUACAUCUUCGUGUUGGUCGGUGUGGUCCUUCUCGUUGUAGUUGGACUGCUGCUGGUAUGUUUGCUAAGGGAGCAGAACAAUGAUGGCAGUUCAGCAGCUGUUGGGCCAUCCAUAUCCCAUGAACAGAAGCACGAAGAAGAAGAAGAAAGGAAGGAGGAUGAAGAAGAAAUGAAGAACCACGCGAGGCGCAAGUACCUGAUGCUGCUAGGCGUCUUGGUGGCAAGUGUAGCCUACCAGGUCGGCCUAGAACCACCGGGAGGAGCGUGGCAGAGCAGUGGCAAUGGGUACGAGGCGGGCGACCCGGUGAUGCACGAUAACAGGAGGCCCCAGUACCUCGUCUUCUUCUACAGCAACUCCUUUUCCUUCGUGGCUUCCAUUGUUGUCAUCAUGAUGUUGCUACCGCACUGGCUGCCAAACAAUAAGGAAGAAGAAUGGGAGAAAUGGUCGCUGAGGGUCCUGAACUGGACGAUCCUACUGGAUUUGGUCACUCAGUGGCCUAUGCAGCCGGCUCCAGCAGGGGGCGGGAGACGCCUGUGUAUGUCGGUAUGA
rnacentral:rRNA from 1 species